rnacentral:lncRNA from 1 species
CAAACUCCAAUCCCCUUUUUUCUUCCUUAUCAAACCCCAAAAUCUCACUAAAACUGGCGAUUCACAUUCCCCAAACAGCAGCCAACAUAUUCAAGCCCUGAUAGAAGAUCUUUCAGCCUUGAAGUCUCUUUUCCACUUCGAUCGCAACGAAGCAAAAGAAACUUUCGGCAUAUUUGCAAGAUAAGGCUUAUUCUUCUCUUUUUCUUUUGUUUUUCCUUAAAUGCAUAUGAUGAAAAACAAAGAAAAUAGAUGAACAAUUAAUAGAAGACGAAAGAAAUUAAAAAAAAAAGAAAUCAGAAAUCACCAAAAAGAACUACUUUCCCCUUUUUCUCUUAAGUAUCCGUAAAAAAUAUAGUACAUUCAGUCAUCCCUUUUAUAGCUAAAAAAUGAAAAUAAAAUAAAUAAGAAAAGUCCAAUUGCUUUGCUGUAAUACUGCGUAUUCUGUUAUUUGCUUAUUCUCGCGUGUUCCAUUUGCAGAAAAGAACCGUCCAACGGCACGAGCAGAGACGCGCGCGAGGGACUGUUGGCGCACGUGUGGUGUUCGUCCGUAUCACUGGCUGGUUACUGGUGAUUUCCAGAAGCUUCUGGCCUUGCUUUGAGUACGAACUGCUAGGAGCACAGACUAUGGCUGUGGCGCUGAUCAGCAACUGGGAUUUGGGCUAGGGUUAGUCUUAGAUUGGGCCACCUGUGAAUCGGGCUAGGGAUUUUAGGUUUUGGGCUUUUAUUGGGUGUUGGGUUUUGUACUAGGCUACUAUAAUUUGGGGUUAAUGGGUUUUGAAAUUUGGAAUGUAAGUGGACUGUUAAAGUUUGGACUUUUUAUUUUUAUUUUAAUUUAUUUUUGGUUUAUUUUUUUGUUAACGGGCCCGGGCGAAAUGGGCCUAUUACAGUAAUAGUGACUUUCAAUAUCAUGCAUCCAUAGUGAAGUGGGUUGGAUGAUGAGGCACAACAUGCCAACAAUGGGGCGGUAGUGAAUUUGGCAACACUCACCCCACCCCAUUUUCAUGAUGUCAUCCCUACUCUAACCGCUCAAAUGACAAAAUAUCAUUUUAGCAUCUUUAAAUUUCUAAAAUUAUAUGUUAGUUUAAUGGUAAAAAUAUACUUUAGCUCCUUAAAGAUGAUAAAAUUUCAAUUUAAACCCUUUAGAAAUUCUAAAAUAAUAAAUAUAUAAUAAUUUACAAUACUAUAAUAUGAU